CACAGCUGCCUUCUCGCCAUGAAGUUUCUACAUCUAUUCGUGCUUGCCGUCUGCGUGCUUGCAAUGGCUCUGCCCUCAUUGGCUCACCCGGAACCGCAGAGUAUAAAUAGCGUUUUAGCAAGGCUGAGAAACGGAGGGAUUUUCCAUCCUGGACUCGUGAAUCCUACCUUGGCCAGACUCGGAUUUCGUGGAUAGGUCAUCCUCCGGCCACCCUGAGACCAUCCUUCUAUCCCUGGUCACGUCCACCGCAACGGAUGAAGGGUUUCGAAUAAAAUUUUUAAAAAAUCAUUCUUUUCUUUUCUUUUCC